CGAUGAUGAAUUCAAAAUGAAGUGGCUUGUGCCCAGCUUGUAGCCAUAAAUAUAGCGACGCGAAACUUUCCAACUCAUCUUCACGAGAUGAGAAUCUCAUAGCAUCACCCCUACAGGAAGCCAAUAUAUGGAAUGGUCGCAUACUCCGAUUCAGAUCAUCUAAAAGGCGUUUCGUCAACAAUGCAAGGUGUCCUGAAUGAUUACUGGAAAACCCGCGAUGCCACCCUUAAUUUCUUUAAUUCAUCAUGUUUUAAGGACUCGAUUGUUGGAUACCGAAUUCAAUAUAUUAUUCUAAUGCCACCAUAUUAAGGUUGAUUUAGAGACUUUUGAGCGACUGGAGAUAAAUUUGAGUUCUCAAAGGAGUUCCUAACAAAUUACUCAGGCAAGAUUCACAUUUAUUCUAUGACGUCAUAUUGGGUAGGUGGGUGUGUGGUAGAAAU